UACGUAGGGGGCAAGCGUUGUCCGGAAUUAUUGGGCGUAAAGCGCGCGCAGGCGGUUCUUUAAGUCUGGUGUUUAAACCAUGGGCUCAACCUAUGGUCGCACUGGAAACUGGGGGACUUGAGUGCAGAAGAGGAGAGUGGAAUUCCACGUGUAGCGGUGAAAUGCGUAGAUAUGUGGAGGAACACCAGUGGCGAAGGCGACUCUCUGGGCUGUAACUGACGCUGAGGCGCGAAAGCGUGGGGAGCAAACAGG
rnacentral:rRNA from 1 species